rnacentral:lncRNA from 1 species
UUAUGAUUGUGGUUAUGAUGCUAAACAGGGUGUAUGAAUGUAUGAUGUGUGAGAAAGCAUGUUGUGUGAGGUAUUGAGCUCCAAAGUUUUCAUUGUUGUAUGUAUUGUUCACAGGAAAACAUGAAUGAUAUUGCCUUAAUCUUGAUGAUUGAUUGAAUUGCAUGUGAAUGUCAUAUGAUCAAGGCCAUUUUUGAAAACCCUUCUCUAGCCAAAUUUUCACCCAAAAUGCUUGAAAUAUUAAACCCUUUUUGAACCUUAGCUAUAAACAGGAUGAGAACCCUUGAUUUGAAAUUCUUUACCUUGAGUUGGGUUGAGCUUAAUUGUAUGUGUUGAAAAGGUUCAAGUUUGGGGUUGUAUGGGGGAAAUUGAAAGGUAAUUGAAAAACAAUGAGCUUAGAUGUUGAGAAAGAAAAAUGCAUGAGAAAAAGAAAAGAAAAGAAGAAAAGCAUGAAGAUGAGCUCAAUGUAAAAAUAAAAGAAAAGGGAAGAAGUUGGGAAUAAGUGAGAUUGGUGAGGGAGAGAGUUGUGCUUAAAUUUUGAAUAUUAUUAUAGCUCUCUUAGCUCAAGGAUUUUGCAUUCCAAAAAAACUAAUUUUUCUUGUUAGCCCAACCUCAAUACAAGCCUUAGAAAAGUCCUUAUGAUGACAUUUGCAUGUGGAGAUUUUGAUUGUUUAAGAUGAAUGGCAAUUUUGUUUCAUGUGACUUGUGCAUAAUAGAGAGUUGAAGUGUCACCUUAAACACUUGAGCGAAUGAGUGAAACACUUGCUUGGUGAGAAUUGAUA